AACCAAAGCAGGAAACACCAGAAUGAAGAUUGCCCAGGUGACAGCAGCAUGACCCUAAAAGAAGUUAAUAAUAAGUUUCCAAAAAGUCUCAGAACUAAUUGCUGAGAGCAUAGGAAAAAACCCACUUGGGACUCAUGGGUUCAAAGCAACAUUCAGGAGAGCAUUGUUUAGAUAAACUAUUUGAUCCCUAAGGGCUUGUUUCCAUCUCAUUUCUUCUUGCACCUCCUCCUCCUCAUGGCUUUCCUCUUAUCCUGAUGUUUCAAAUCUCUGCUCCAGAGAAUGAAAGACUCUAGAGAUCCCUGGUGGACUUAUGAAAAAAUAAACUAUGGAGAAAAACAAUGCAGUUUUCCCUAAUCUUGUUUUUGGAAACAUCUGUGCCAUUUAAUCUGAAACAUUACAAUGAAAAAUUCAGACUCAGACAGACAUGGAAAAUAUCCUUAUAAACAGCUCAAAUUUGGCAACGUUAAUUCAAAUGAAAAUAAAGCCUUAUAAAGGGAUCUCUUAGGAAACCUUGAAUUUAAGAGGGGGGCAUUUAACAGCUUUGCAUGUAAUAAAAGUCUACAUAAAACCAGUAUAAUGACUCUGCAUAACAAGCAUCACAGCAACAUGUUAUGCAUUUUUUUGUGGAUUGUAUGGCCUCUCUAAGCUCAAUCUGUAUGCAAGUAAGAAAUAAAAGAUUGUCCAAACUUAGAAGAAAACAAAUUAGUAAUGACAAAAUAAAGACAAGUCUGGUGAAAACCUCAGACACCCCAAGCCAACCAUUACUUUAAAAGCAAAGGAAAUAAAGGAGGCAGUUUUUAAUUACUAGCAGUAAUCUGCAUGAGUAAGAAUUUCAGUCUAGAAGAAAAUAAUGCCACUAACUGGCAAGGCACUAGCUGUGUUUGUUGGCUUAGAAGCACUUUCUUUCCAUUACUGAAAACCUACAAGUAGGAUUCUCCAGCAACAAUGUUAUUUCCAUCUUAAAAGAUGAACAUGAAACCUCAAAAUCUAUCAGAUACACUCUAUCAAACAACUAAUAAUCUUCACAGGCAAAUCACUUAGAAAUGCAUUAGGUUUUAAGUGGAAUGCAUUUGCAAGAAAUUCCAGUAACUGUCAGAGCUAAAUGUUUCCUUAACUUUUUGUUUAUGCACAAAAGAAGAUAAAAAUAUUUAGAAGAGAAUGAAGUUAUGAGCCCAGAACAUGUGCCAUGGGAAAUCUAAACCUGAAUGCAGUUGAAAGACUGUCCAAAAGGGACUGACCCAAAGAAUCCCUCCAUCACACAGCAGUUGAAGAGGAAAACCAGACUAUGAACUUAAAGCAACUGAGCUGCUGCUCUGGAGUCUGAGAAAGGUUCACAUGCCAACAACCACUUGCAGAAGAAAAAUAGACUGACUCUCCUGGCCAAAUGAAAAAGUACAUUCCUGAUAUGGCAUCCAGCUGAGAACUUGAGUAGGAAGCAAUACACUCAACAGGCAUCCUGUGUCUUCCUCCAACCCAUCAUCCCACCAAUUUUCUGUUCUCUCAACACUCUCAGAGACUAAGCAUCAGCAGUUCCUUAGAGCUUAGUCCAAGCUAUUCUAUUACCUUAACCAUUUGUUUGUAUCAGUGGUUGCUGAACACAACCCUACAAAGGCACAGAUUAAGAGAGAGGAAAAGGUUUGAAUACAAUAAACUGGCCUGAAUGUCAGCCUAGAAUGCAUGCUGAACUAAUUUUUGAAUUACAGAUUUAUGAAGUGUGUCUGCAUCUUUCUCUCUUGGUGCGUUGUUUGAUUGGUUUUGUUCACCUAGUUCUAUGUGGUUAAUGUCAGGUGCUGGUAUGCCCACCAGAAUUUCCCUGUUCACCUCUCAAGUAACAGCCUUUUCUUCCAAUUCCUCUCUCUUGUCCUGCUACAACAGCAGACAUUCCUGAUGCAGCAGUCCUUGCAGGAAUCUGGGUCUGUGAUGCACCUACAACCUCAAGGAAGACUUGCAGGCUUUUCUGAAUAGUCAGACAUUUCUUUUGCUAUGAUUGACAAACUGCUGAAAAGUGGAAUAAAAAUAUAGGCUCAACAUUGGAUAUAAUCAAAAUGGCCACCAAACUCUAGAAAUAAGUAUAAGCCAUGAUAGUUAAGACUUGUGCUGUGAGCCUCCACCCGAACACAGUGACCCUGGAUCUGGGAGUUCUCCUCAAUCUAUUAUGGAGCCGGACAGAUAAACAGGGGAAGUUUGACUGCUCUCAUCAGAGAUUUUGGUAUGCCUUUAAUCAUCCCAAAGCGUAUUAAUUAUGGAGACAAAAAUCAAGUUUUACUUGCCAGAAUGUUAUUAUGGAAAAUCUAAAAUAUGAUGGAAGGUAGACUGACAUUCCUGUAGGCUUGCUUAAUCACAUAUAAGUGUUUAUUUACCAAUGAACUCCAAUGCAUGUGUUGUGAUGUUAAGGGCACAUUU